UGUGGAGAUAAGCAGAUCAAGGUUUUUGGGGGGGGGGCACAUUUUUCAGAACCAUCUUAAAAACACCGUUGAAGACCAAGAAUAAAGGAGAUCCAAGAUGGAAAUAGAGCUUUCUCAUCUAUCCUUUUAAAAGAGAGAGGAGACACAGUUCACUUUGACAAACCUGUGUGAACUGAAUCUGGACCUUGGGAAACAUUCAACUGUCAUUGUGGAACCUUUUUGAUGGCCAGGUUCCAAUGAGAAGAAUGGAUCCUGCCCUGCGCAACCCUUAACAAGGAGGAAGAGAGGAGAAGUCAGCAGCUGAUGGACAACUAAAUUCUGACGUCUCACCUCGGAACUGUCAUGGAGUAGGCUCUGUGUUGGGACCCGAUUUAAAGGUCUCAGAGCAACUAGAAAAGAUGAGCUGGCCUUGCUGAGUGAGCUUGGCAGCCUUUCUAUGUCACCUGACUUCCAGUCAUGUCAUAGCCAUGGUUAGCUACCUGGCCAUACCUUUCUGCCAGGCUUGCCUGUAGAUUCCAGAGGAGCUAAGGGCAUGGGGAUAUACACCUCUCACUGAUGUUGGCAGGGCAGAUGCACCUCCAGAGAGAAGGGAGGUGGUGUCUCCCUCAAGAUCACUUCGAUACCAACUUCUAUCGUCUUGCUGCUCAAAAAACUUUUCCAGAAGCUUCUACAUCUGAAUUCACCUACCUGCUACCAUUGCUCGGCCAGGGACAGACAGAGAGACAGACUUGGUUGGAAUUUCUCUAAUGUCACAUAAGGACACAGUGGGAAGGUGGCCGCCUUCAAGUCUGGAAGAGAGUCCUCACCAGGAAACUGAGUCUGCUGGCACCCUGAUCUUGGACUUCCCAGGAGUGUGAGAAAUACGUUCCUAUUUUUUGAAGCCACCCAGUCUACAGUGGCAACCUGAGUU